rnacentral:misc_RNA from 1 species
AUGAAUUUUAGGACGUUCUUUUUAGAAGUCCGACCCUUUCAUUUUCUUACACCGUGCACACACUUCUUUUUUACACACACUUUUAACACCUUAGUAUAAGAAUGUAAUAGUCUCUUAAUUGAGCAUAAAUAAAAAC